GACGAACGCUGGCGGCGUGCCUAAUACAUGCAAGUCGAACGCAUUAUCUUUAACCGGCUCUUGCUGCUCAGUAAGAAACUGGUUGGCAACGGGUAGGGUACCACGUUGGUAACCUGCCCAUCCGCGGGGGAUCACACGUUAAUACCGGUUCUUAUUCCGCAUUAUUUCAUUUACCGCUUAAUAGUUGAAUGACACGACCAUUAGCUGCACCGACGGUGGAUCCGGCGGUUGAUUAGCUAGUUGGUGGGGUAACGGCCUACCAAGGCUGCGAUGCAUAGCCGACCUGAGAGGGUGAUCGGCCACACUGGGACUGAGACACGGCCCAGACUCCUACGGGAGGCAGCAGUAGGGAAUCUUCGGCAAUGGACACAAGUCUGACCGAGCAACGCCGCGUGAGUGAAGAAGGUUUUCGGAUCGUAAAACUCUGUUGUUAGAGAAGAACAAGUAUGAGAGUGGAAAGUUCAUCCCUUGACGGUAUCUAACCAGAAAGCCACGGCUAACUACGUG
rnacentral:rRNA from 1 species